GACGAUACACAGCUUCUGCUGAAUUUUAAUCCAAAUAAUUGGGUUGAUGCCUGCAUAAAAUUUAACUCAGAUAUAGCAUUAUUUUCUGAUGUUGCGAAACGCCAUGAACUUGUGCUAAAUCCAUUUAAGUCUUCUGUACUUCUGUUUUGCGGUAGUGUCACAAGGAGAGCGAUUAAGCCUUUGAUAUCCGGUCAAUUGGUGAUGGAUGGCGAACCUCUUACUGUUUCUGAUGAUAUAAAAAUUUUAGGAGUCACAUUGGAUCAUCAGUUGAGGUUUGAGGAGCAUGUGGCCAGGUGCUUGAGGGGUGGGUAUGGCGCCCUGCGUCUCUUGUAUGCCCAUAGGGAUGUCUUAAGUAAAAAAUUAAAAAUUAUGCUGUGUGAUAGCUUGGUUCUAAGCAAAUUAAAUCACUGCGACGUUGUUUAUGGUCCAAAUUUAACGGAGGCGAGUGGGCGUCGUAUCCAGAACCUUCAGAACGGUUGUCUGAGGUUUAUUUACGGAAUUCGUAAAUAUGACCAUAUUAGUCAUAAGUUGGCAGAGACUGGGUGGUUGAACAUGAAAAACAGACGUAAACUGCAUGCAACUUGCGUUUAUUAUAAAAUUAUUAAAAGUCAGCGGCCUCCUUACUUGCUGCAACGCCUAUCUUUCAGAAGCGAUGUCCAUAACAUUAAUAUAAGGAGGAAAGAUGUAUUGACGGUACCACGCCGCGCCUCGCAC